GACGGAGGGUGCUAGCGUUGUUCGGAAUCACUGGGCGUAAAGGGCGCGUAGGCGGCGCCGGCAGUCGGCCGUGAAAGCCCGGGGCUCAACCCCGGAGGUGCGGCCGAGACGCCGGUGCUGGAGGCCGGCAGAGGAGGGGGGAAUACCCAGUGUAGAGGUGAAAUUCGUAGAUAUUGGGUCGAACGCCGGUGGCGAAAGCGGCUCUCUGGUCCGGACCUGACGCUGGGGCGCAAAGGCUUGGGUAGGAAACAGG
rnacentral:rRNA from 1 species